GGUGAGAUGGCUCAGCAGUUAAGAGCACUGGCUGCUCUUCCAGAGGUCCUGAGUUCAAAUCUCAGCAACCUCA
rnacentral:tRNA from 1 species